rnacentral:rRNA from 1 species
UAGUCAUAUGCUUGUCUCAAAGAUUAAGCCAUGCAUGUCUAAGUACACACUUUGGUAAAGUGAAGCCGCGAAUGGCUCAUUAAAUCAGCUACAAUUUAUUAGAUCGUACACUGUUACUUGGAUAACUGUGGGAAUUCUAGAGCUAAUACAUGCCGAGAGUCUCUGCUCUUCGGGGCAGAGCGCAGUUAUUAGACCAAAACCAGCCGUAUCUUUCGGGGUACGUACUUUUGGUGACUCUGGAUAACCUUCAGCCGAUCGCAUGGCCUUGUGCCGGCGACGUAUCUUUCAAGUGUCUGCCCUAUCAACUUUCGAUGGUACGUGAUAUGCCUACCAUGGUGAUAACGGGUAACGGGGAAUCAGGGUUCGAUUCCGGAGAGGGAGCCUGAGAAAUGGCUACCACAUCCAAGGAUGGCAGCAGGCGCGCAAAUUACCCAAUCCUGACACAGGGAGGUAGUGACAAGAAAUAGCGAUGCGGAGGUAUUGAUAUUUUCGCAAUUGCAAUGAAGUGUAGAUAAAGAUCAUUAUGAGGAACGAUU